rnacentral:rRNA from 1 species
GACGAACGCUGGCGGCGUGCUUAACACAUGCAAGUCGAACGGAAAGGCCCUGCUUGCAGGGUACUCGAGUGGCGAACGGGUGAGUAACACGUGGGUGAUCUGCCCUGCACUUCGGGAUAAGCCUGGGAAACUGGGUCUAAUACCGGAUAGGAGCCAUUUUUAGUGUGAUGGUUGGAAAGUUUUUUCGGUGUAGGAUGAGCUCGCGGCCUAUCAGCUUGUUGGUGGGGUAAUGGCCUACCAAGGCGGCGACGGGUAGCCGGCCUGAGAGGGUGGACGGCCACAUUGGGACUGAGAUACGGCCCAGACUCCUACGGGAGGCAGCAGUGGGGAAUAUUGCACAAUGGGCGCAAGCCUGAUGCAGCGACGCCGCGUGGGGGAUGACGGCCUUCGGGUUGUAAACUCCUUUCGCUAGGGACGAAGCUUUUUGUGACGGUACCUAGAUAAAAAGCACCGGCUAACUACGUG